rnacentral:rRNA from 1 species
CAGUCGCCGCGGGAAUACGAAGGGUGCAAGCGUUAAUCGGAAUUACUGGGCGUAAAGCGUGCGUAGGCGGUGAGUUAAGUCUGCUGUGAAAUCCCCGGGCUCAACCUGGGAAUGGCAGUGGAUACUGGCUCGCUAGAGUGUGUCAGAGGAUGGUGGAAUUCCCGGUGUAGCGGUGAAAUGCGUAGAGAUCGGGAGGAGCAUCAGUGGCGAAGGCGGCCAUCUGGGACAACACUGACGCUGAGGCACGAAAGCGUGGGGAGCAAACAGGAUUAGAUACACGCGUAGUCCCUGUCUCUUAUAC